UUUUUUUUUUUUUUUUCCUAUGAAAUGUAAAAUUCUGCACCUGAAGAAUGGCAGAGAUAAGGUGAGGAUUUUAAUGACAGACUUUGCUUUGGUGAGGAUGCCCUUUCCUCUCCCGGGUAGUGCAUCAUCCUGUCCUCUAGUCAGAGGCUGAGGCGGUUUAAAGCUGGUCUUUGUGAGCUCCGCUGCUUCUGGUUUGUCCUUCGUUUGAGUUGUCAACUGUCGAGGUCUCCACGCAAAGCCUUGGGGCUGCAGAUCUGUGUGGGAUGAACGCUCUGUCCUGUGGUUCGCUUUCCAUCCGUCCCACCUUUUCCGUGUCCUUGCGUGUCUUUCCCGCCAUCUCCUCGAGUCACGGGAUAUCUUCACUCUUCCCACCGUUAUCUCUAUUAGCUCCGUAGUUUCAUGCUCUCCUACAACUCCUUGUCCUAGAGAUCACAGUGUGCAGCCUUUCACUUUCAAAAUCUGACUCGAGUUUUUGCUUCCCAGCCUCCAGACGCUGUUGAAAACUUGCUCAGUUUCCCGGCCACUGAGACACUACUUUCAGAAAGUACAGAUGCCCCCAGGGUCACAUCUGCCCCAGACAACAGACCGUCUUUCCGCAGCUCUCUCCUCCCCUGGAACCUGACAGUUCUCCUGUGCUUUCAAGCGGAAUUUUCGGAUUCCUCCUGCAGCUCUUCGGGCUGUUCUCCGGGGCAGGUCCACACCUUGUCUGCCCUCACUGGUAACGGUCAUUUUAACUCCUGUUUGGUUCCUCUCCAGUUUUUUGAGUUUUCAAACACAGUGUAGAGAAUAUGCGUGGUGGGGGACUUUGGGCCCACAUGGCGACAUUCAGGAUUUACUACUAAGCUCUCCCCACGAGGGACCCUGGCCUGAGUGCCCUGCAUGUGUUCCUUCACUUGAUCCUCGCCAUAGGGCUUGGAGCCGCUCCAGUCUCACUUUACAAGUCCUCAGAAGAGCCUGCCCAGGCCACAGGUCAGGAUGGGAAGCAGUGGAGGUGAGCCCAGCAUCUCGCCUCUAAACCACUCCACUGUACGGGCUGACUGGGAAUCAGUGAAAAGCCUCUUUGAAAAGCCUCCGCCUGGGGUGGCAGGUAAGUAGCAGCAUGUGUUUAAGGGACUUGAACUAUGCACCUGCCAGAGGGAAAGAGCAGGAGCGUGGGUGAGAGGUGUUUGAUGAGUAGCUUCCAACAAGAACAAUAAAAAUCCAUGUUAAUAAGAAGGACCUUUUCCUAAAUACGCGGAAACUCUAAGUUCUAGAAAUGCCACCAAAGAGUUCAGUUGUUAAACUGCCGAAGAGCAGUCAAGCUUAUUCAUCUGGUCUAAUUCCAGUGCUAUUCUCCAGAGGAAGGUGUAACCCCUGCCCCAGGUACAGAACCACACAUCCUUGGGGGCAGGGCUAAGAGACUGUCCCCUCCAUCUGUUACCGGAAAGGAGGGAGAGGGACAAAGCCCACACGACAUCCGGGGAGGCCGUCCAUCCUCCCAGCGACCCGUCACCACUGUCACCCGACAGGUGCCUGCUGGUUCCCUUCCCUGCGGCAGCUCCAGCCACACCUCCUCCCGCCGUGAUUACACCAUCCAGCACCCUGGAGCCCUCGGCCUCAGCCUCUGGGACAGAACAGGUAACAGGCCCAAGAAGAAGGGCAGACCAGUGAGCAGGGAAAAUGACAUGAGCAAGAAAACCGUCACAGCCCCUCAGAACCCCCAUUUCAAACUUUGCCCAAAAUGUCAUGCACUGAGACUGAGUCCAGCCCCCAUUUUUUACCAAAAUGAACAACUGGGGACUAGUGGCCGACACAGGUGGCCACCUCCCUUGACCACGGCAGCUACCCUGGCUUCUGGGGCAGUGGCGAAGUGGGGGGGGCAAUACCACUGCCUCCUGGGCGGGGGACCGGGAAAGGAGACCCACACCCUCAGGCAGGGCCCCCACCUCCAAGCAGAGCAACCGCGCACGACACGAAAGAGCCCACCUUCUGGAAGGAUCCAGAGCCUGCCAGGGCCCGGGGACAGUGGACUGUGGCAUUUCGUUUCCUGCCUUGUCCUGUCAGUGCCCAUGAAACCUCCCUGUUCGGUGGCCACUGCAGGGAGUGACGCCCAGUCCUGAGGUUCAGCUUUGUAUGAGACGCCAGCAUUGUUGCCCACACACAGGAAGACUUGGGGUUCAAGAGAGCUCUACUCUUUGAAUCUCACUGGUCCGGAGGCAGGUGUGUCCACCGUGAGUCAGACCCACCUUCCACGCGCUGCCCCCAGCCGACGGCAAUUCGCAGUGCGGUUCCCAUAAAAGCAGGAAGGCUGCGCUGCAACGGCGAGUGACGUCAUGGCCGCAGGAGCCUCGACGGGAACAACCCCCCGCGUGUGUUUCACGCUGCCCUGCUGAAGAGCACACGACCAACGCAGGGGCCCAGCUAAGAGAAGAGGGACCAGAAGACACAAGGGGCAUUUUGGCACUUGAUUCGUACAAGGGUGCCUGCUUUCUGGGAGCCCUUUGGGGCCUGUUUGAGAAGGGGUUUAGCCCGGGUGGUCAGAGGGUGAUGCUUUUCCACGCUUUUGCGAUCGCAGGUUGGCCUCUGUUGGACCAGCCCUCGGGGCAUCCACUGUGACUGUGCACGACGCGGACGAUGGGCACCAGGACAGAGGCAGGGCCCUGUUCACAGCGAACACGGCUCCUCGCCUUCCCCUGAGACCAGGGGCAGAGGGGGCUCGAGUUCCCAGGGAGAGGGGCCACGAGGCCGCCCCCUUACGGCGGAGGUCUGCUCAUCAAGGACGACGAGGACGCAGGGCUGCAGGGCCAUAAACAAGGUGACCCUGCGGCCCUGGCGCCACCUGGGGACACCUGCAGAGCCGAGCCCCCAGAUCUGUCGAAAGAUACCUGGCGGCUGAGGUCUGCAGAGACCUCCCUCUGUGCACCCCCUCCCUACCCACAUCAUCCCCCCACUUCCUCAGGACUCCCAGCCUCCUCACCCACCUGGGCAGUGUGGGACCCUCUGAACCGGACCCACCUCCCCUCCCUGAAGCCACAGUCCCACAGGCCCCCUGGC
rnacentral:lncRNA from 1 species